rnacentral:rRNA from 1 species
GAUGAACGCUGGCGGCGUGCCUAAUACAUGCAAGUCGAGCGAACAGACCAGGAGCUUGCUCCUCUGACGUUAGCGGCAGACGUGUGUGUAACACGUGGAUAACCCACCUAUAAGACUGGGAUAACUUCGGGAAACCGGAGCUAACACCGGAUAAUAUAUUGAACCGCAUGGUUCAUUAGUGAAAGACGGUUUUGCUGUCACUUAUAGAUGGAUCCGCGCCGCAUUAGCUGGUUGGGAAGGUAACGGCUUACCAAGGCAACGAUGCGUAGCCGAACUGAGAGGGUGAUCGGCCACACUGGAACUGAGACACGCUCCAGACUCCUACGGGAGGCAGCAGUAGGGAAUCUUCCGCAAUGGGCGAAAGCCUGACGGAGCAACGCCGCGUGAGUGAUGAAGGUCUUCGGAUCGUAAAACUCUGUUAUUAGGGAAAAACAACUGUGUAAGUAACUAUGCCCGUCUUGACGGUACCUAAUCAGAAAGCCACGGCUAACUACGUG